AGCAAAAGGAGAGAGCAAGGGCAAUUCACGAGCCGACGAGAGGACAUUGUUCCAAGGAACGAUGACGCGACGCCUCACUCGAUUCGGCAGACAAAGAUUCCAACAACUUCCACUGAAGGAACGCGAGAACAGAACAGGAAUUGAGGGUUUCACCAAACGUGGGUUUUCCCGAACGACGAGGGAAGGGAAAGUGCUAACAACUUCCGCCAAGGCAUCUUUACUUGGAAAAUGGAGAUUUCUGUGGGUUUGGUUUGGUCUGGACGUGCAUUUUUUACUGAACCUGACAGUCAAAGCCCGGCUAACCUCGUUUAAGUUGUAGAUGUGCGGUGCCCCUAUGCCCGUCCCCUCUUUCGGCGGG